rnacentral:lncRNA from 1 species
ACCCUCACACAAGCAUACCUGCAGACAAAACACAAGUGCACAUAAAAAUAAGCUUUAGGAAAUUAAGAAAUUAUUUUUAAAAGAGGGAGGAAGGAGCCCCAUCCUGAGCAAGGGACUCCGGAGAGUCUAGAACAUGAGGAGGAGAGCAAGGCUUCCCUGCCCCCGCCUGAACUGUAGGGAGACGGCCCUGCAGAGGUGCCCUGGCCCUGCUGAUGACUGUCCUUUGUCUUCUUGGUUAGGCCUGCUCGUGCCAACAACCAGGUUCCUGCCCCAACCCAGGCGUCUGCCAGGAGAAGUGAGGACUCAGUGCCGAGAUGGGGAGUUGCCAGAUCCUCCGAACGCCUCGCCUGCCACCCAGCUCUCCGCUGCUCUGGACCUGGCUUGUGACUUGCCACCUUUGUGAUGGAUGUUUACAGGAACCCAACCAGACGUCACCCACAGCCGCACCUGCCUCCCCCACUCAACCUCCGGGAAGGACACGGAGAGCUGAGGUGGCAAACGGACUCAUGCUUAGGCUUUUCCCGUCAGCAUUGUUUGAUGCUGGUUGACCUUAAGCCUGGGAAGACUUCAGACCCAAGACUGUUGAUCAUAGUUUCAGGGUGUCACUCUGGAGGGCUAUGCCAGGGCCCAGGACAGGGUUUAACUUCUCCAGGUUGACAGAACUGAGAUACUGCACUGGGGAAGGCCAUGCUGUGUCUGGCUAGAAAUCUAUUUUUGGAAGUGUGAGUGGUGUGUAAAGUGUGAAUGGUGUAGAUCCUUGAAUUUCCAUAAACCUGUAAAAGCAAUACCUAGAGGCUGACUUAUUUCAUUAAAAAAAAAAUGUAAGCAAUUCC